rnacentral:rRNA from 1 species
CACUCCUGCGGGAGGCAGCAGUGGGGAAUUUUACGCAAUGGGGGAAACCCUGACGUAGCGACACCGCGUGAGCGAAGAAGCCCUUUGGGGUGUAAAGCUCUGUCAGCUGGAACGAAAACAAUGACGGUACCAGCAGAGGAAGCAUCGGCUAACUACGUGCCAGCAGCCGCGGUAAGACGUAGGAUGCGAGCGUUGUCCGGAUUUAUUGGGCGUAAAGAGUUCGUAGGUGGUUUGUUAAGUUUGGUGUUAAAGAUCGGGGCUCAACCCUGGGACUGCACUGAAUACUGGCAGACUCGAGUGUGGUAGAGGCUAGUGGAAUUCCCAGUGUAGCGGUGAAAUGCGUAGAUAUUGGGAAGAACACCGGUGGCGUAGGCGACUAGCUGGGCCAUAACUGACGCUGAGGAACGAAAGCCAGGGGAGCGAAUGGGAUUAGAUACCCCAGUAGUCCCA